GUGUUUGCUUUGGCAGCACAUAUAUUAAAAUUGGAAUGAUACACAGAAAGUUUGCAUGCUCCCUGUGCAAGGAUGGUACAGACAUUUGUAGUGUUUCAUAUAUUU